GACACGAUGGCCGAGCGGUUAAGGCGUGAGACUAGAAAUCUCAUGGGAUUUCCCGCGCAGGUUCAAAUCCUGCUCGUGUCG
rnacentral:tRNA from 1 species